CGCUGACCGGGGACGGGCAAGGGGCGAGGACGGCCAGGGAGGACGAGGCGUUGGCGGUGGGGGAGUCGACCAGGCCGGAAUACACCGCCAGCAGGCCAAAGCGUGUCCCUGUGGAUGUGCACUGUUUGCACUAACAACAUGGCUGAAAAACAACAGGGGCCAUUGCACGGAUAACACACGGAAGACUAUCAGGACAACAUCUUACGGACUCUUCGGUUGACAAUGCAACUUAAGAUGGUCAUCCUUAGCCGGAUGGACAUCGGCGGCGGGGAUGAAUGAUGGGACAGACAGAUGAGGUGCUGCUGGAUGUUUUAAUAUAGUUGCCAUAACAUGUAUGCAGACAGUACAAGUUGCGUGUUGGAAUCAUGGAUCGGGGUAAGUUUGGGGAAGGAGAAGGGGGGGGGGCGACAAACAGUAAACAAAGCCAA